rnacentral:tRNA from 1 species
GGGCUUGUGGUUUAGUGGUAUAAUUCCUCUUUAGCACUACGCUUCGAAUGAGGUGCGAGGACUAGAGGCGGUCCCUGGUUCGAUUCCUGGCAGGUCCA